GAUCGAGGUCUGAAACCCGACCUCGUGAAGCUGGAAUCGCUAGUAACCGUGGAUCAGCCACGCCACGGUGAAUAUGUUCCUAGGUCUUGUACUCACCGCCCGUCACUUCAAGCGAGCUGGGAAUAGCCGAAAGUCUCACACAAGUGGGGUUUAAGCUAGGCUCAGUAAGAGGGAAGAAGUCGUAACAAGGCACGGGUAGCGGAAGCUGCUCGUGGAUCAAUUAUUUU
rnacentral:rRNA from 1 species